rnacentral:rRNA from 1 species
AUUGAACUCUGGCGGCAGGCUUAACACAUGCAAGUCGAGCGGAGAUGAGGUGCUUGCACCUUAUCUUAGCGGCGGACGGGUGAGUAAUGCUUAGGAAUCUGCCUAUUAGUGGGGGACAACAUUCCGAAAGGAAUGCUAAUACCGCGUACGUCCUACGGGAGAAAGCAGGGGAUCUUCGGACCUUGCGCUAAUAGAUGAGCCUAAGUCGGAUUAGCUAGUUGGUGGGGUAAAGGCCUACCAAGGCGACGAUCUGUAGCGGGUCUGAGAGGAUGAUCCGCCACACUGGGACUGAGACACGGCCCAGACUCCUACGGGAGGCAGCAGUGGGGAAUAUUGGACAAUGGGGGGAACCCUGAUCCAGCCAUGCCGCGUGUGUGAAGAAGGCCUUAUGGUUGUAAAGCACUUUAAGCGAGGAGGAGGCUACUGAGACUAAUACUCUUGGAUAGUGGACGUUACUCGCAGAAUAAGCACCGGCUAACUCUGUGCCAGCCGCCGCAGUAAAAC